AUUACUUGUGGUCUGAUUACUCCCAUGUAAGCUGAAUUGAAAAGUACAGUAUUCCAGAAUUGGAUAAAGAUGUUCUGAUCCUCCUACAAAAGGUGAGGGGAGUAAGAAAUUUAGAGGAAUAACACUUUAAGUAGGAUAGGAGAGACAUUAAGGGAAGUGGGAGGAAAAAAUCUUAAUAUCAAGUACGUGUUUUAAUGAAUGUAGAGAAAGGAUUUGGCGACACAAUGCCAGAUCUACUUUGAAUAUAAUACGGGUGUUAAAAUUUUGUUGCCUGUUAGCAGAUGAAAUAUUUAACCCUGUGUGGCAAAAAAAAAAGGAAAGAAAAGUCCAGCUCAUUCUCUUUUCUACCAUUUAAAGUAUCACUAAACUCUAUCACACUAUUAUUUAUUGCCAUCAGCAUCCACUUCACCAUUUUAAGAGAGUAGAGCACUAAUGUGCUCUUUACUCAAAGCUAGCUACCUUUUCCUUCAUUAUUAUAUGGGGAGAAAAGUUGGGGACAUGGAAAAUAGAUUGGUGUGCACUUGCUUUUGUGUUUCAAAGGGUAACCGAGUAGCCUGCAUGUUUCCUUCCCUCACACAAGUGCCUUCUUUGGGGAGAAUUGUGACAACUUUACACUAAGUGUUGCCAUUUUGUAAACUUUGUGGUGUGAACUGUACUGUGUAUUGAAGGUGCUGGUUGCUCAAGUUCUCCUAUUGUUAAGCCCCGUCCACACGAUCGGGCACUCGCUUAAUGCCCGUUGUUCGGGCAAAAUUGACAGGCAAACCAACAGAGUGCCCGUGGUCGAGCGAAAUCACCAGAUAAGGCCGUCUGCCUGGUGGUUUGACCGUUUGCUGCCGGGUAUGGAUGGACGACCCUGCCAGACAAAGGAAGUUAACCUUGGAACCCCCGGCUGCCAGUUUUUCAGUCUUGCCACAAGUCACCACUGGAAAAUGUCUGUUCCUCUGUCUGCCACAGACCAAGGAAACAUUCAUUGGUCUAGAGAAGAGACCAUGGUGUUGAUUGAACUCUAUCGUCAGCACCCUUGUCUAUGGAAUGUCAAAGUGGACAUGUACAGGGACAAACGUGCAGCGGCACCGAAACAGAUUACAGAGGACAUGAAUAGAAGCGGGACUACAGUUACCACAAGUGAUGUGAAGAGAAAAAUUGAAUCACUUCGAAAUCAGCAUAGACGGGAACUAAGAAAGAUGCAAAAAUUAAAAAAGUCUGGAGCUGGAACUGAGGACAUUUAUAUUCCCACAUUAUGGUGCUUUGAUGCACUGCAUUUCCUCAUUGAUGGUGAUACAAUUUGACAAUCUGUGUCAAACAUGGAUACUCACACUACAGAAGAUAUGUCUGAGCUGCUGAUUCAUCUCCUGAGCAUUUUCCUCAUUUUGUCUCUGAAGCCACGCCCUUGACUGCAUCACAUUGUUGAGUUGAACACAUUUAAGGAGACAAUAGCCUUUACUGCAUCAAUGUUUCUAGACUGAACCCGAGAGAAUAAGACAUCUAUGUGAGGCAUUACUUUGGAGAAAAAUUCUAGCCAAAAUUCAAAUUCUGGAUCAUUCAAAGUUCUCUUGAUACCUGCUGCUGUAUAUCCAGUAUCUCUUGAAUUUCAUGCCUCCAAUGUAUUGCAAUAUUCAAAUAUUGCAGCUUUCAUUUCUUGUACUGCAUCGCCUGUUCUGCUUUUAAAAUUCCAGCGUGUUGUAGAUGGUUUUGGAAUUCUAUGGUUAGCAACAUUUUCCAAUGCAGCCAUUCUCUGUGGAGGUCUUGAAAAAAUACUGGUACAGUAUUCCCUUAAAACUUGCCGUUUUAAAGCUUGCGUCCCUCGGAAACUCACGGAUUGCCAUGGAAAAUAAAUCAGGCUGUGUGCCAGGGAUCAAGAGGAGUCAACACUACAAGACAGUAUACAGAUCUAAUAGCCUACUGUACUGGCAAAGCCAAAUCACUGGUUAUAUGCAAUCAUGUUUCUCACUAUUACUUUCUAGACCUACGGUAUUAUCCAACAUUUGUUGGUAUUAAUAAAAUUUACCUAAUUUAAUACAAAAGGAUAUAAUUAUACGUAUAGGUACCUACAGUAUACACAUUACAAAUACUUAUCAGUACUGGGCAUGUUCACAAGGAACUGUCCAGUACAGGGAUUGUGUACAUCCUGUGCACCAGAUCAGCUGACGUUUCAGAGGUAUUGUCUUUGCAUUGUCACUACCACAUUAGGUCCACUGUGUGCACCUAAUGUCCAUAGUGUUUCAUGUUAAUGUUUAUUAAUGUUAUUUCAUAUUUAUUAUAUUGUCUUAUGCAUACAUAAUGUUGUUAUACAUGUGCAUAAAGCUAUUUGUACACUAUGUAUUUUGCACACUCCUGGGACUGGCAUGAGAAACUCACAGAUUUUGCUUUCCCACGAGGUCCAUUUUACCUAACCCCAGUGAGCUUUAAGGGAAUACUGUAUUCCUGAUAGGCUGUUGAAAACAAUUUUGACUCUCUUAUUUUGGGAUGUUGCCCGAUCCAAAAUCAAGUUAAGUUGGUGUGCAUAGCAAUGAAUAAAAUGUGCAUUGUUAA
rnacentral:lncRNA from 1 species